rnacentral:rRNA from 1 species
UACGUAGGGUGCGAGCGUUAAUCGGAAUUACUGGGCGUAAAGCGUGCGCAGGCGGUUCGUUAAGUCAGAUGUGAAAGCCCCGGGCUCAACCUGGGAACUGCAUUUGAAACUGGCGGGCUUGAGUAUGGCCAGAGGGGGGGUGGAAUUCCGCGUGUAGCAGUGGAAAUGCGUAGAGAUGCGGAGGAACACCGAUGGCGAAGGCAGCCCCCUGGGCCAAUACUGACGCUCAGGCACGAAAGCGUGGGGAGCAAACGGG